rnacentral:rRNA from 1 species
UAAUACGUAGGGGGCAAGCGUUAUCCGGAUUUACUGGGUGUAAAGGGAGCGCAGACGGAAAUGCAAGCCAGAUGUGAAAGCCCGGGGCUCACCCCCGGGACUGCAUUUGGAACUGCGUAUCUAGAGUACUGGAGAGGUAAGCGGAAUUCCUGGUGUAGCGGUGAAAUGCGUAGAUAUCAGGAAGAACACCGGUGGCGAAGGCGGCUUACUGGACAGAAACUGACGUUGAGGCACGAAAGCGUGGGUAUCGAACAGGAUUAGAUACCCUGGUAGUCCACGCCGUAAACGAUGAUGACUGGGUUUUUGGCAUCAAGUGUCAAGAGCCUGAGCGAAAGCGUUAAGUCAUCCACCUGGGGAGUACGUUCGCAAGUAUGAAACUCAAAGGAAUUGACGGGGGCCCGCACAAGCGGAGGAACAUGUGGUUUAAUUCGAUGAUACGCGAGGAACCUUACCCGGGUUCAAAUGCAGGCUGCAUAGGUCAGAGAUGAUCUUUUCAAGCAAUUGACCGCCUGCAAGGUGCUGCAUGGUUGUCGUCA